UACGGAGGGUGCGAGCGUUGUCCGGAUUUAUUGGGUUUAAAGGGUGCGUAGGUGGCUUGAUAAGUCAGUGGUGAAAUACAGCCGCUUAACGGUUGAGGUGCCAUUGAUACUGCCGAGCUUGAAACAAGUGGAGGCUGCCGGAAUGGAUGGUGUAGCGGUGAAAUGCAUAGAUAUCAUCCAGAACACCGAUUGCGAAGGCAGGUGGCUACGUUUUGAUUUGACACUGAGGCACGAAAGCAUGGGGAGCAAACAGG
rnacentral:rRNA from 1 species